rnacentral:rRNA from 1 species
UACGGGGGGGGCAAGCGUUGUUCGGAAUUACGUGGCGUAAAGGGCUCGUAGGCGGCCAACUAAGUCGGAUGUGAAAUCCCCAGGCUUAACCUGGGAACUGCAUCCGAUACUGGAUGGCUUGAAUCCGGGAGAGGGAUGCAGAAUUCCAGGUGUAGCGGUGAAAUGCGUAGAUAUCUGGAGGAAUACCGGUGGCGAAGGCGGCAUCCUGGACCGGCAUUGACGCUGAUGAGCGAAAGCUAGGGGAGCAAACGGGG